AUCUUAAAGAAAGUCUGCAAGAGUACAAGGAGAUGCGCUUAAGGCGAAAGAGAAGUGGCAAAAGCAAAGGAAAAGCAUAUUGCGAGUUGUACAAGAAGUUGAGUAGUAAGGAAGGAGAAAAGGACUUGUACCGAUUGGCCAGACAAAGGGACAGAGCUG